GACGAACGCUGGCGGCGUGCUUAACACAUGCAAGUCGAGCGAUGAAAGCCUUAUGAACUAUUCGUAGUGAUUGGGGCCGGAUUAGCGGCGGACGGGUGAGUAACGCGUGAGCAACCUGCCUUAAACAACGGGAUAGCCUCGGGAAGCCGGGCUUAAUACCGUAUGAGAUCCCGCCUUCACAUGACGAAGAGGUUAAAGAUUAUCGGUUUAAGAUGGGCUCGCGUCUGAUUAGCUAGUUGGUGAGAUAAAAGCCCACCAAGGCAACGAUCGGUAACCGGCUUGAGAGAGUGAACGGUCACAUUGGAACUGAGACACGGUCCAAACUCCUACGGGAGGCAGCAGUGGGGAAUAUUGCACAAUGGGGGAAACCCUGAUGCAGCGACGCCGCGUGAGCGAUGAAGGAAUUCGUUUCGUAAAGCUCUGUCCAAGGGGAAGAUAAUGACAGUACCCUUGGAGGAAGCCCCGGCUAAAUACGUGCCAGCCGCCGCGGUAA
rnacentral:rRNA from 1 species